rnacentral:rRNA from 1 species
GACGAACUGUCCUAACGUUGUUCGGAAUCACUGGGCUUAGAGGGCGCGUAGGCGGUCCGAUAAGUCGGGGGUGAAAUCCUGCAGCUUAACUGCAGAAGUGCCUUCGAUACUGUCGGUCUUGAGGGAGAUAGGGGUGUGCGGAACUUCCAGUGGAGCGGUGAAAUGCGUUGAUAUUGGAAGGAACGCCGGAGGCGAAAGCGGCGCACUGGAUCUCUUCUGACGCUGAGGCGCGAAAGCUAGGGGAGCAAACGGGAUUAGAAACCCUGGUAGU